CCCCCGCCUCUCCUCCCUGAGCGGGCCGGUUGACGCCGGUUGUCCAGCCCGGUGGUCAUUUGAUCACCGGGUAUUUUUGU
rnacentral:ncRNA from 1 species